rnacentral:rRNA from 1 species
ACCUGCCCACUGAUUAAUUGAAUGGCCGCAGUAUUUUGACUGUGCAAAGGUAGCAUAAUCAUUAGUUUUUUAAUUAAAAGCUUGUAUGAAGGGUUGGACGAGGUAAAAUCUGUCUCUAUUUAAUUUAUUUUAGAAUUUAAUUUUUAAGUUAAAAAGCUUAAAUUAUUAUAAAAGACGAGAAGACCCUAUAGAUCUUUAUAUUGUUAUAAAUAAUUUUAGUUAGGAAUAUUUUAUUUUUUAUUUAUAUUAAUAUUUUAUUGGGGUAAUAAAAAGAUUAGAAAAAUUCUUUUUAAAGUUUAAUACUAAUUAGUAAUUGUUUGAUCCAAUAUUUUUGAUUAUAAGAUUAAGUUACCUUAGGGAUAACAGCGUAAUUUUUUUUGAGAGUUCAUAUCGAUAAAAAAGUUUGCGACCUCGAUGUUGGAUUAAAAAUUGUUCUAGGUGCAGAAGUUUAGAAAUUUGGUCUGUUCGACCAUUAAAUUUUU